GACGGGGUUGCAGGGCCGCGCAUCCGGGGGCUGCCGCCCCCGGGCGCAGGUCCGGCUGGGGAGCGGAACGGCAUGGGAGGGCCGGCCGCAGCGGGUGACAGCCCCGUACGCGAACCCAGACCGGACGGCGCGACGCGGUCCCUGAGUAGGGCCGGGCACGUGAAACCCGGUCCGAACCUGGGUGGACCACCAUCCAAGCCUGAGUACUACCCUGUGACCGAUAGCGCACCAGUACCGUGAGGGAAAGGUGAAAAGCACCCCGGGAGGGGAGUGAAACAGUACCUGAAACCGUGCGCCCACGAGCAGUCGGAGCAACUUUACGUUGUGACGGCGUGCCUUUUGUAGAAUGAGCCAGCGAGUCGCUGGCGCGGGGCGAGGUUAACCGAAAGGGAGCCGGAGCGAAAGCGAGCCUUAACAGGGCGACUUGAGUCCCGCGCCGCGGACGCGAAGCCGGGUGAGCUAUCCGUGGGCAGGCUGAAGCGGGGGUAAGACCCCGUGGAGGGCCGAACGCACGUCGGUUGAAAACGGCGGCGAUGACCUGCGGAUAGGGGUGAAAGGCCAAUCAAACCCGGAGAUAUCUCGUUCUCCCCGAAAUAGCUUUAGGGCUAGCGUCGCGCGUUCACCGCCGGAGGUAGAGCACCGGAUGGACGAGGGGGCUUCGCCGCCUACCGAAUCCAACCGAACUCCGAAUGCCGGCGGCCCAGAGCGCGGCAGUCAGAGCAUGUGGGCUAAGCUGUGUGCUCGAGAGGGAAACAGCCCGGACCGCCCGCUAAGGUCCCCAAGUUCCAGCCGAGUGGCAAAGGAUGUGCGUCCGCCCAGACAACCAGGAUGUUGGCUUAGAAGCAGCCACUCAUUAAAAGAGUGCGUAAUAGCUCACUGGUCGAGUGACUCUGCGCCGAAAAUUUAACGGGGCUAAACUAUACACCGAAGCUUGGGAUACAUCUAAUGUAUGGUAGGAGAGCGUUCUGUAUGGGGAGAAGUCGUAGCGAAAGCGGCGGUGGACUAUACAGAAGUGAGAAUGCCGGAAUAAGUAGCGAGAAUUAAGUGAGAAUCUUAAUGGCCGAAAGUCUAAGGUUUUUGGAGGAAGGUUCGUCCGCUCCAAGUAAGUCGGGAGCUAAGGUCAGGCCGAAAGGCGUAGCCGAUGCACAUACGGUUGAUAUUCCGUAACCAUCUGUAAUUUAAGCAAAGGGACACUUCAAAAGGGUGUGACCCGGGCGUUGGUUGACCCGGGCGUAAGGGACCGAAAUUAGAGUAGGGAAGCACACUUAGCUGAAGGCGAGAAAAGCUUUGCGUAUAGAAACAGAUGCCCGUACCGCAAACCGACACAGGUGGACAGGAAGAGAAUUCUAAGGCCAGCGGGAGAAGGGUAGUUAAGGAACUCGGCAAAUUGACUCCGUAACUUCGGAAUAAGGAGUGCUCGAAAGAGCCGCAGAGAAUAGGCCCAGGCGACUGUUUAGCAAAAACACAGGUCUCUGCCAAAUCGAAAGAUGAAGUAUAGGGGCUGACACCUGCCCGGUGCCGGAAGGUUAAGAGGAGGAGUGAGAGCUCCGAAUUGAAGCCCCGGUAAACGGCGGCCGUAACUAUAACGGUCCUAAGGUAGCGAAAUUCCUUGUCGGGUAAGUUCCGACCCGCACGAAUGGUGUAACGAUCUGGGCACUGUCUCAACUACCCACCCGGCGAAAUUGUAGUACCGGUGAAGAUGCCGGUUACCUGCGGCAAGACGGAAAGACCCCAUGGAGCUUUACUGUAGCCUGAUAUUGGGUUUCGGAAAUCUAUGUACAGGAUAGGCGGGAGACUGGGAAACAUGAGCGUCAGCUUGUGUGGAGUCGAUGUUGGGAUACCGCCCUUAGGUUUCUGGAAUUCUAACCUGCGGCCGUGAAACCGGUCGGGGGACAUUGUCAGGUGGGCAGUUUGACUGGGGCGGUCGCCUCCGAAAAGGUAACGGAGGCGCUCAAAGGUUAGCUCAGCACGGACGGAAACCGUGCCUCUGAGUGUAAACGCAAAAGCUAGCCUAACUGCGAGGGUGACGGCCCGAGCAGUAACGAAAGUUGGAGUUAGUGAUCCGGCGGUAUGUGAAUGGAAAUGCCGUCGCUCAACGGAUAAAAGCUACCCUGGGGAUAACAGGCUGAUCUCCCCCAAGAGUCCACAUCGACGGGGAGGUUUGGCACCUCGAUGUCGGCUCAUCACAUCCUGGGGCUGUAUUCGGUCCCAAGGGUUCGGCUGUUCGCCGAUUAAAGUGGUACGCGAGCUGGGUUCAGAACGUCGCGAGACAGUUCGGUCCCUAUCUGUCGUGGGCGCAGGAUAUUUGAGGAGCUCUGUCCUUAGUACGAGAGGACCGGGAUGGACGUACCUCUGGUGCACCAGUUGUCAUGCCAAUGGCACGGCUGGGCAGCUAUGUACGGAACGGAUAAACGCUGAAAGCAUCUAAGCGUGAAGCCGACUCCAAGAUUAGAUAUCCCAUCGUAUAACGAGUAAGACCCCUUGAAGACUACGAGGUUGAUAGGCUGCGUGUGUAAGUGCCGUGAGGCAUUCAGCUUGGCAGUACUAAUAGGUCGAGGGCUUGACCAC
rnacentral:rRNA from 1 species